AAAACGACUCUCGGCAACGGAUAUCUAGGCUCUCGCAUCGAUGAAGAACGUAGCAAAAUGCGAUACUUGGUGUGAAUUGCAGAAUCCCGUGAACCAUCGAGUUUUUGAACGCAAGUUGCGCCCGAAGCCAUUAGGCCAAGGGCACGUCUGCCUGGGCGUCACA
rnacentral:rRNA from 1 species